rnacentral:rRNA from 1 species
GAUCCUGGCUCAGGAUGAACGCUAGCUACAGGCUUAACACAUGCAAGUCGAGGGGCAGCAUGGUCUUAGCUUGCUAAGGCUGAUGGCGACCGGCGCACGGGUGAGUAACGCGUAUCCAACCUGCCCUUUACUCGGGGAUAGCCUUCUGAAAGGAAGUUUAAUACCCGAUGAAUUCGUUUAGUCGCAUGGCUUGAUGAAGAAAGAUUUAUCAGUAAAGGAUGGGGAUGCGUCCCAUUAG